CAUAUGCAAUCAUUAUUGAGACUUUUCAAUUUUCUAUGUUUCCUGUAAAACAUAAAAACACAUGAAGUCCAUUUCAAAACAACAACAUCUCAUCUUCCAAGUUUCAAGUAUGCACCACUUAUAUAUGUUGUUGUUACUUAUGGGGGGAAUGAAGGGGAUGGAAUGCGUGAUCAAGGUGUGAGUUGGCUUGAGGGAAAAAUGUGAACCAAAACUUACAAAUAUUUCUUUUGCAAUUUUGUUUGUUUUGUACCGUAAUCUUCAUUUUUACUAAUGUAAAGUACUUCCUUAUGCAAA